UACGAGAGGCGCAAACGUUAUUCGGAUUUACUGGGCUUAAAGAGUUCGUAGGCGGCGCAGAAAGUAGGGUGUGAAAGCCCUCGGCUCAACCGAGGAAUUGCGCUCUAAACUACUGUGCUUGAGGGACCUAGAGGUGAGCGGAACUGAUGGUGGAGCGGUGAAAUGCGUUGAUAUCAUCAGGAACACCGGAGGCGAAGGCGGCUCACUGGGGGUCUUCUGACGCUGAGACGCGAAAGCGUGGGGAGCGAACAGG
rnacentral:rRNA from 1 species